rnacentral:lncRNA from 1 species
UUUAAGUUAGAUAAGGGUGAGAAAAAGUUAGAGUCAAAUUAAAAUUCAAAAGAGGUUGAAUUGCAACAAACUCUAGCCCUUACCUAUUUUAUCUGGUUUGUGCGAUAACCAUAAAAAGGCCACAUUUUGUUGUGCCAAAAGAAGAGAGCUCUUCACCAUGAGAUAUCAGAGAGAAAGAGGGUCAAAAAUACUUCUUUGGGAUGUGAGGAUUGGGUGGGUUUCCUUCCUCCUUGGCAUGAACAAAAGAGGAGACCGUUCUCUUCUUGGGUGAGAGAUCUAGAACUGUUCAAGGUUUUUGGGUGAGAGAAAAAUCAAAGAGAAGAGAGUUUUCAACUAAAUUUUCUCCACUAUCCAGCAUCCUUCUCUAAUAUAUCUUCGACAUUAGAAAGAUUCAAGAUGAUCAAAGAAGGAGAUUAAGUUAGAUCUGCUAUCAGAAGCUGACUGUGCGAGCUAGCACUCUCACGGAAGACUGAUCAGUCUGAGGGGCUUUGUAUAGACCAUUCGUAGAGGUCGGACACUUGUGUGGCUGCUUGACAUCAGUGAGAGCUUUAUACCAUGC